GUGGCUCAGUGGUAGAGUGCUUGCCUCACAUGCAUGAGGACCUGGGUUCCAUUCCUCAGC
rnacentral:tRNA from 1 species